AUUGAACGCUGGCGGCAUGCUUUACACAUGCAAGUCGAACGGGGGUAGCAAUACCCUAGUGGCGAACGGGUGAGUAAUGCAUCGGAACGUGUCCCGUAGUGGGGGAUAGCCCGGCGAAAGCCGGAUUAAUACCGCAUAUGCUCUACGGAGGAAAGCAGGGGAUCGCAAGACCUUGCGCUAUGGGAGCGGCCGAUGUCCGAUUAGCUAGUUGGUGAGGUAAAGGCUUACCAAGGCGACGAUCGGUAGCUGGUCUGAGAGGAUGAUCAGCCACACUGGGACUGAGACACGGCCCAGACUCCUACGGGAGGCAGCAGUGGGGAAUUUUGGACAAUGGGGGCAACCCUGAUCCAGCCAUGCCGCGUGAGUGAAGAAGGCCUUCGGGUUGUAAAGCUCUUUCGGCCGGAGAGAAAGCCUGUCCGCUAAUACCGGAUGGGGUAAUGACGGUACCUGAAGAAUAAGCACCGGCUAACUACGUGCCAGCCGCCGCCGUAA
rnacentral:rRNA from 1 species